UGCAAGUCGAGCGGACUGAUGGGAGCUUGCUCCCUGAGGUUAGCGGCGGACGGGUGAGUAACACGUGGGCAACCUGCCUGUAAGACUGGGAUAACUCCGGGAAACCGGGGCUAAUACCGGAUAACCCGUUCCACCUCAUGGUGGAGCGGUAAAAGAUGGCCUCUGGCUAUCACUUACAGAUGGGCCCGCGGCGCAUUAGCUAGUUGGUAAGGUAANGGCUUACCAAGGCGACGAUGCGUAGCCGACCUGAGAGGGUGAUCGGCCACACUGGGACUGAGACACGGCCCAGACUCCUACGGGAGGCAGCAGUAGGGAAUCUUCCGCAAUGGACGAAAGUCUGACGGAGCAACGCCGCGUGAGUGAUGAAGGUUUUCGGAUCGUAAAGCUCUGUUGUUAGGGAAGAACAAGUGCCGUUUGAAUAAGGCGGCACCUUGACGGUACCUAACCAGAAAGCCACGGUCUACUACGUGCCAGCAGCCGCGGUAAUACGUUAGGUGGCAAGCGUUGUCCGUAAUUAUUGGGACUUAAAGCGCGCGCAGUCGGUCUCUUAAGUCUNGAUGUGAAAAGCCCACGNUUCACCCGUGNGANGGNCAUUGCAAACUGGUGAGACUUNGAAGUCNNAAUNAAGCGAAACNGGAANUNCNCCGUGUAGCGNUUGAAAUNCNUNAAUNUUGNGANNAACCACNCACUGGUCNAAUGNCACUCUUCUUGCNCUNUACAUUNNACCCUUAAUGCUCCGAAAGNUNNGUCGNGNCNAAACUCGAUUU
rnacentral:rRNA from 1 species